rnacentral:lncRNA from 1 species
ACGGGUCAUGAAGCCCAUAAAGGUCCAGUUUCAUCCUUUGCCAUUUUUGUGGUCUGUGUGUCUCCAGAGAAUUGUAGGGACAGAAAAAUUGUCCCCAAACCUAUCAAAUUGCCUAACCCAGGCCUUUGCACACUCAUUCCCAUUUUCUGUAUCAAAAGACACCGCCCCUCCCAUUUCCCUCAUGAAUUCACACUAAACUACAUUUUAUUUCAGUCUUUUACCAGUUACAUCCCCUAUUAUCUCCCUAUUAUUCCUCUGAUACCCCUCUUUCAGCAUCAGGUCUUGCUGCUCCAGACCAAAAUCCAUAAAAGCAGAAUACCCUCAAUCACCCUCCCCUGUCUGUCUAUUCCAGUGAGGAAUGAAGCAUUUUCCACAGCUUCUGGCAAUCUCCCUCACCCUGCCCUACCCCACAAAGUUAAUUCAGAAAGGAAAAGAAAAUACUCUAGUUCAGCUCUUCACAGAAACAUGUUAAGUUGCCUUCAAACAGAAUUUGACAACCUCUUGCAAGAUGUAUUGUGGUGCUUCAGUCAAGUGAAAGGAACGAUUGACGCAGGGGUCACAGAAGGAGAGAAAAACUGCAGCCCUUUUGUAUAUGCAACAUUUCUGUAAAUCUGUGACUUCUGAGCUUUUACAGAACUUGGUAAGUGCCUCAAAAUGGCUCACACGCUGUGAAAUCAGAUCAGAAAUGCAAUGUAGAUUCAAUUUGUUACAUAUCUAAAUAGAAAGCUCUGCAUUUUCUUCUCAGCAGUAUUGCUUAGCAUGUGUAUGUGUAUCCCGCACCCCCAUGCUAUAUUUAUUUCUCUUUAAUCUGGUUUCUUAGUAACAUUGCUGAAGUGGAAAUUUCAGAACAAAACCAAGUGGCCAUUAAUAGCUUCAGAAAGGAAGGUUGCUAGGGUGUUAUUUUUUCCCCCCUUUUCAGUUUUCAGUUAAGUCUUACUAGAGAAUGAGAGAGAAUUGAGAGCAGUAAAGAAGAGGCACAACCUUACUGCAAAAGCAUCAAGAUAUAUUUUCCCCUCCUAGCCAAAAAUUAAAUUUUUUUUCCCACUGAAACAGAGCAAUUAAUUUUACUUAAUCAUAAUUAAAUUUUCUAUCCAGUAUUUGAUAUUUUAGCUGGCUGGAUAGCUCAGUGGUUUAGGUAUCUGGCUGUGGAGCCAAUUCCCCACUUGCCUCCUAGGACGAGAGCUUACCUGUGUGGCCUUGGGCAGGCUGUAUAAUUCCAGGGUGCCCCCAGAAGAAGGGGAUGGUAAAUCACUUCCGUGUACUCUCUACCUAGAAAACUCUGGAUAGAGUUGCUGUAAGUCAGAGAUAGCAUAUACUAUUCAAUAUUUUAAUCAGUAAUCUUAGAGCAGUAGAAAGACGGACUGAGGACAAUUCAGCUGAUAAAAAGACAGUUUUUCUUUUUUAAUAUAUUUACAAGUUUGUUACUAUGAAAAACAUAUUAAUUCUUCACAUGAUCUACAGUAGAACUAUAAUAAGUUCUGUUGAGGCAGGGAAAAGCCUCAAUUGUACAUGAGUUCUCCUUGCUCCUCCUUUGUCUUAACGGUACACUUUAAAUUACACUAAUUAUUUCUAAAUGUACAUCUUUAUAUAAAUUAGGAAAUGCAAAUUC